UUGCCAUUCUAUGGACACUGUCAUUACCAUUCUAUGGAGGAGGAACUGAAGCAGAGAGGGGCAAAAACUCUCCCUACUUCACACAAACAACUGCUGGAGCCAGGGUUCUAGCUGUCCAUGGUCCUGGAUCAGGACGAUGAAGUAUUACCUGCUUCCUACAGUCACUGCUGCCUGGGACUAUCCACAUGUGGAGAACCUAGAAGUGAGACCCAAGUAACCAAGAGUCAGUGGGGAAGCUCUGGGCAAGUGUGUGACUGUGAAGCCUGCCCAGUUGUCCUGGACUAGGCGAGGCCUACCCAUCUGUGCUCCCAGGGGGAAUACGGACUACAAACAAAGCAGGAUCUCACUUGAGCAAGCUUUGAAGUUGGUAAUGAAUGCAUUUACCAGCAUGCAGAACACAGUGCAGCAGACAUAAGCUUAACAUUCUACAGAAGCCAUAGAUCACCAUGCUUUCAUUUCUCCUUACUUUUUAUUAAAAAUAA